rfam:Ixodes scapularis strain Wikel colony gcontig_1108378787826, whole genome shotgun sequence.
UCCUGAUUAGCUUAGUUGGUAGAGCGCUCCACUAGAAAUGGAGAGUUCCCUGGUUCGAUACCGGAACCAGGCG